UACGUAGGGUGCGAGCGUUAAUCGGAAUUACUGGGCGUAAAGCGUGCGCAGGCGGUUACAUAAGACAGAUGUGAAAUCCCCGGGCUUAACCUGGGAACUGCGUUUGUGACUGUGUGACUAGAGUACGGCAGAGGGGGGGUGGAAUUCCUGGUGUAGCAGUGAAAUGCGUAGAUAUCAGGAGGAACACCGGUGGCGAAGGCGGAUCUCUGGGCCUGUCCUGACGCUCAGGCGCGAAAGCUAGGGGGAGCGAACAGG
rnacentral:rRNA from 1 species